GUGGGAUUAGCUCAGUUGGUUAGAGCACUGGUUUGUGGUGCCGGGGGUCACGGGUUCGAGCCCCGCAUCCCACCCCA
rnacentral:tRNA from 28 species